rnacentral:rRNA from 1 species
UUGGAGGGCAAGUUGGUGCCAGCAGCCGCGGUAAUUCCAGCUCCAAUAGCGUAUAUUAAAGUUGUUGCAGUUAAAAAGCUCGUAGUUGAAUUUCGGGGUUAGUAGGUUGGUCAUGCCUCUGGUAUGUACUGGUCUCACUGAUUCCUCCUUCCUUAUGAACCGUAAUGCCAUUAAUUUGGUGUUGCGGGGAAUUUGGACUGUUACUUUGAAAAAAUUAGAGUGUUUAAAGCAAGCUAACGCUUGAAUACAUUAGCAUGGAAUAAUGAAAUAGGACGUUCG